rnacentral:lncRNA from 1 species
UUUUAUUUAAUAUUUUUAUUAUAUUCAAAUAGCUAUAAUUUUACUUUAAACGAAUGUUUUAGACUUCAAAAUUUAAUUUAAAUCAUGAAAUAUGUGUUUCCACUUACAUAUUACAUUUUUUCGGAUUUCGAAAUUUCAAAAAAAAAAUGACGAAAAUGCCCCAGUGAGCUAGAAAAUAAUAUUUUUAUUGUUUUGAGUUGGAAACAACUUAUGAUUUCUUGAAAUGCGAGAUUUAAUAACUGUCGAUCACCGGGAAGAUGCGGAAGUUGAUGCUAAGCCUUGCGGGGUUUCGAUCGGCAUUCGGGGUAAUGAGUGCUUAUCGGGACGUCGCGACGGUUGUCACGGGCCCGAUGGGAGUUCCGGGUCGUGACACAUAAUAAGUUUUUUUGAGACUUAGCAGAAAAUAAUUCAUCUUUUAUUAUAAACUUUGUUCCUUCACGUAGUGAAAUAUUGGCUCUUUCGGUGCUUUCAAUUAAUUUUGUACUACCAA